UGGGUAAUAUUGGACAAUGGGGGGAACCCUGAUCCAGCCAUGCCGCGUGUGUGAAGAAGGCCUUAUGGUUGUAAAGCACUUUAAGCGAGGAUGAGGGUACUGGUAUUAAUACUACCAGGUACUGGACGUUACUCGCAGAAUAAGCACCGGCUAACUCUGUGCCAGCAGCCGCGGUAAUACAGAGGGUGCGAGCGUUAAUCGGAUUUACUGGGCGUAAAGCGUGCGUAGGCGGCUAAUUGAGUCGGAUGUGAAAUCCCCGAGCUUAACUUCGGAACUGCAUCCAAAACUGGCGAGCUAGAGUAGGGCAGAGGGUGGUGGAAUUUCCUGUGUAGCGGUGAAAUGCGUAGAUAUAGGAAGGAACACCAGUGGCGGAGGCGACAACCUGGGCUCAUACUGACACUGAGGUGCGAAAGAGUGGGGAGCAAACAGG
rnacentral:rRNA from 1 species